AUUGAACGCUGGCGGCACGCUUAACACAUGCAAGUCGAGCGGAAACGAUGGGAGCUUGCUCCCAGGCGUCGAGCGGCGGACGGGUGAGUAAUGCGUAGGAAUCUGCCUUAAAGUGGGGGAUAACCCGAGGAAACUCGGGCUAAUACCGCAUAAUACCUACGGGUCAAAGGGGGCCUCUGUUUCAAGCUCUCGCUUUAAGAUGAGCCUACGUCCGAUUAGCUUGUUGGUGGGGUAAUGGCCCACCAAGGCGACGAUCGGUAGCUGGUCUGAGAGGAUGAUCAGCCACACUGGGACUGAGACACGGCCCAGACUCCUACGGGAGGCAGCAGUGGGGAAUAUUGGACAAUGGGGGAAACCCUGAUCCAGCGAUGCCGCGUGUGUGAAGAAGGCUUGCGGGUUGUAAAGCACUUUCAGUGGGGAGGAUGGUAUUAUUUGCUAAUAUCAAAUAGUAUUGACGUUACCCAUAGAAGAAGCACCGGCUAACUCCGUGCCAGCCGCCGCCGUAACAC
rnacentral:rRNA from 1 species